rnacentral:rRNA from 1 species
AUGAACGCUGGCGGCGUGCCUAAUACAUGCAAGUCGAGCGAACGGACGAGAAGCUUGCUUCUCUGAUGUUAGCGGCGGACGGGUGAGUAACACGUGGAUAACCUACCUAUAAGACUGGGAUAACUUCGGGAAACCGGAGCUAAUACCGGAUGAUAUUUUGAACCGCAUGGUUCAAAAGUGAAAGACGGUCUUGCUGUCACUUAUAGAUGGAUCCGCGCUGCAUUAGCUAGUUGGUAAGGUAACGGCUUGCCAAGGCAACGAUGCAUAGCCGACCUGAGAGGGUGAUCGGCCACACUGGAACUGAGACACGGUCCAGACUCCUACGGGAGGCAGCAGUAGGGAAUCUUCCGCAAUGGGCGAAAGCCUGACGGAGCAACGCCGCGUGAGUGAUGAAGGUCUUCGGAUCGUAAAACUCUGUUAUUAGGGAAGAACAUAUGUGUAAGUAACUGUGCACAUCUUGACGGUACCUAAUCAGAAAGCCACGGCUAACUACGUG